rnacentral:rRNA from 1 species
AUUGAACGCUGGCGGCAGGCCUAACACAUGCAAGUCGAACGAGUGGCGGACGGGUGAGUAAUGUCUGGGAAACUGCCUGAUGGAGGGGGAUAACUACUGGAAACGGUAGCUAAUACCGCAUACCAUCAGAUGUUCCCAGAUGGGAUUAGCUAGUUGGUGGGGUAACGGCUCACCAAGGCGACAAUCCCUAGCUGGUCUGAGAGGAUGACCAACCACACUGGAAAGGAGACACGGUCCAGACUACUACGGGAAGCAGCAGUAGGAAAUAUUGCACAAUGGGCGCAAGCCUGAUGCAGCCAUGCCGCGUGUAUGAAGAAGGCCUUCGGGUUGUAAAGUACUUUCAGCGAGGAGGCGUUACCCGCAGAAGAAGCACCGGCUAACUCCGUGCCAGAAGCCGCGGUAAUAC